rnacentral:lncRNA from 1 species
CUCGACGUACCGGAGUCCGUGCUCAUGAUCCGGAGCACAGCGGCUCGCUGUGGGAAGCGCGGGAGCAACCCGAAGGUUCAGCGAAUAGCGCGCAGUCAGGGAAGAUCACGCCGAACAGAACUAACCGGACACUUCUGAUCCAAAGUGAGGUGAGCACUGUGAUCAGCACUGACCAACGAUCACCGUGCUCACCUCCGGAGGCAUCAGGACAGCCUCGGAUCGCCGGAUAAGCGUGCGCAAACCCAAAACAGCAGCCAAGAAGGCUGAAACGGAGCGACAUCGCCAAAACAGCGGAACGGGGCCUUCCCGACAGAAACCAAGGUGAGCACGAUGAUCAGCAAUUCGCUACGAUCAUCGUGCUCCCUUCCGCAGAGAUCGGGGAGGCUCGGAAAGCCCAGAACAACAAACAGCCCUAAACUGAGCCCUAUUUCGGGCUUGGCCGGAGCAACCUUGCUCCGGCCGGCCUCCGGCGACACGGCGGCGCGAGCGGGGGCCAGGGUCGAGUGCGGGGGUGGUGAGUAACACAGUGCUCACCUCGGUUGGCGGCGGGGAGCUGCGACGGCGUCGGCGGAGCAAGUUGAGCCCGCACGAGAUCGGGCUCGGGUUCCAGGAGUUGCUGCGGCCACGGCGGCGGCCGGGGAGCUCCGGGAAGGCAGAGGCGGGCUGCAGGAGGUCGGGGGAGGGCGGCACAGGUGGCUCAGGGAGGCGGCGACGCGAGGAAAGGGGCCGCACACAGCUUCGGCUCGGGCUCGGGUUGGGCGGCUGUAGCCGGCCGAGGCGGCGGCGGCGGCGGCGCGCUGGGNAGUCUACCGGACCUAAGAAGAUCCACCAAGUCAGUAUCCAAACCACUAACCCAAAGCACGAGACUCACAAACCCCCACACAGGAUCCCCGUAAUCGAUUUCCCAAAACCGAUUACCGUAACUCACCGGAAGUCCCGAAAACCACACCGGGACGCCGUCGGGAUCCACUAAGUGUCCCGAACUCACCGACUCGUGUCACGAGUCACCCGCUGCCCCAAAGCACUCCAAUUUGGAUGCCUUGGCAGCGAACACAAGGUCACACAACAAUACGAUCAUCGCCGGAUAAUCGUACGGAUCCGGGUUCCCGGAAGUGUCUAUUUCGGCACCGGAACCCUCCGUCGCUCACCUAUCGUCAUCGAACCCACAAAAUGACGAUGGUGACCAGCCAACAAGGCUCAGCGACAAAACACGAAGCGACCAAACACCGUUGGAAAGGAUCCGAACCGAAACCGCGUUCUUUCGGCGAAUUUCGCCGAAAAACGCACCGAAAUCGACCUACCGAUUUCCGCAGAAGUUAACGGACCAUGGACAAUCAGUCCAGCGGUCAAUACAAACUCUUACACACUGCCCACAGUAGCCACGCAAAGCACAAUUGCAUAAAAGACCCUCUAAUUACAUAAAAUAUCGUCAUUUUAUGUAAUUUGAGCGAUCAAGCGGUUCGAUCACGCAAACCGAGGACUUUUGAAGUCCGCAGAGACACGUACUGACAGGUCUCGACGUACCGGAGUCCGUGCUCACGAUCCGGAGCACAGCGGCUCGCUGUGGGAAGCACGGGAGCAACCCGAAGGUUCAGCGAAUAGCGCGCAGUCAGGGAAGAUCGCGCUGCACAGAACUAACCGGACACUUCUGAUCCAAAGUGAGGUGAGCACUGUGAUCAGCACUGACCAACGAUCACCGUGCUCACCUCCGGAGGCAUCAGGACAGCCUCGGAUCGCCGGAUAAACAAGCACAAACCCGAAACAGCAGCCAAAAAGGCUGAAACGGAGCGACAUCGCCAAAACAGCUGAACGGGGUCUCCCCGACAGAAACUAAGGUGAGCACGAUGAUCAGCAACUUGCCAGGAUCAUCGUGCUCCCUUCCGUAGAGAUCGGGGAAGCUCGGGAAGCUCGGAACAUAAACUCAUCCACAAUAAGCCCUAUUUCGGGCUUGGCCGGAGCAACCUUGCUCCGGCCGGCCUCCGGCGGCACGGCGGCGCGCGCGGCGGCCAGGGACGGGUGCGGGGGAGGUGAGGAGUGAGGUGCUCACCUCAGACGGCGGCGAGGAGCGGCGG